ensembl:lncRNA
GGAACGAGAGCUGCUAUUUCUGGAGGUCUUCCUCUAGGGUUCUGGGCAGAAAACAGUGAACUGUCAUCGGUCACCCACCAGCCUCUCUGAACCGGGUCUGCGUGAGUUCUCACCACGUUUUAGUAAACGCGCCCGGGAGCCUGCAGGGGCAGGGACCUUGGGGCAUGAUGACGUCCCCGGGACCGGUGCAGCGUGGAGCCUGAUGACCGGCCUUCCUUCCCCACUUGCGUUCCCAGCCAGGUCCCCACUGCUGAGCUGAGCGACACUGGUCCAGUUAGUUCCCCUUCCUUGGUCCCAAUUCCACCACUUGUGAGGUGGAGAGAACAGUAUGUGAAGACUAAGGGAAACAGUGUCUACAGAGUCUCUAAGAGAUUUGAUGGAUGCUUAAAACAUUCCACAAAGUGAAAGUGAGGGUCAUAUCACCAAUCCCAAUUAGACAUUACAAAAGCCCCAUA